UGGUGUAAAACAAAGGUCCAACUUUAGGCUUCUGUAUGCGGCUAUCCAGUUUUUGUAUCAAAAUUUAUUGAAGAAAACACAAAAUCCUUUAACCAUUUUGUCAUUUUCAUGGCCUCAUAAAAUUAUUGGCUGUAUACACUGAGUUUAUUUUGGAGCUCUUUAUUCUGUUCCAUUGGUCUAUGUGUCUGCUUUUUAUGAAAUUGACAUUUGAGUCAGUGGACUGGGAGAGGAAGACCCAACCUCAGUCUGAUUGGGCACCAUCCAAUAGGCUGCCAGUAUAUCUAGAACAAGGCAGACAAAUAAGGUGUAUAUAUUCCCUUCAUCUGAACAUUGGCUGAAGUUGGUAACUGCCUCAUCUAAUACAAGGCAGCAGAAGCAAUGCUAUGGGACAUCCAAGACUGGAUUAUAAAAGACAGUACAUGUUUUUUCUCUCUCUCUCUUUCUCUUUUUCUCUCAUCCUUACUUCUAUGGCUUCAAACUUUUUUAUCGUGUUACUGACAUAUUCUAUUUUCUUAAAAAUUUUUGUUCUACAUUUCAAAGACGUAUUAAAAAUAUCUCAUUUUGGGGGGAGGGGAGAGGGAUAGCAUUUGGAGAUAUACCUAAUGUUAAAU